AGCAAUACUCCACUGAUACGGGAAUGGAUCCGAAGCCUCCAGAAGGCUAACAUAGGCUCUCCUUUCCCUACUCCUGCUCAAUACGUCCUCGUCGUACAGAACGG
rnacentral:ribozyme from 1 species